CAGCCGCCGCGGUAAUACGUAGGGGGCGAGCGUUGUCCGGAAUCAUUGGGCGUAAAGCGCGCGCAGGCGGUCCUUUAAGUCUGAUGUGAAAUCUUGCGGCUUAACCGCAAGCGGUCAUUGGAAACUGGAGGACUUGAGUGCAGGAGAGGGAAGCGGAAUUCCAUGUGUAGCGGUGAAAUGCGUAGAGAUAUGGAGGAACACCAGUGGCGAAGGCGGCUUCCUGGCCUGUAACUGACGCUGAGGCGCGAAAGCGUGGGGAGCAAACAGGAUUAGAUACCCUGGUAGUCCACGCCGUAAACGAUGAGUGCUAGGUGUUGGAGGGUUUCCACCCUUCAGUGCUGAAGCUAACGCAUUAAGCACUCCGCCUGGGGAGUACGGCCGCAAGGCUGAAACUUAAAGGAAUUGGCGGG
rnacentral:rRNA from 1 species